rnacentral:rRNA from 1 species
GUGCCAGCAGCCGCGGUAAUCCGAAGGGGGCUAGCGUUGUUCGGAAUUACUGGGCGUAAAGCGCACGUAGGCGGACAUUUAAGUCAGGGGUGAAAUCCCGGGGCUCAACCCCGGAACGGCCUUUGAUACUGGGUGUCUUGAGUUCGGAAGAGGUGAGUGGAAUUGCGAGUGUAGAGGUGAAAUUCGUAGAUAUUCGCAGGAACACCAGUGGCGAAGGCGGCUCACUGGUCCGAUACUGACGCUGAGGUGCGAAAGCGUGGGGAGCAAACAGGAUUAGAAACCCGAGUAGUCC